GAUGAACGCUGGCGGCGUGCCUAAUACAUGCAAGUCGAGCGAACAGACGAGGUGCUUGCUCCUCUGACGUUAGCGGCGGACGGGUGCGUAACACGUGGAUAACCUACCUAUCAGACUGGGAUAACUUCGAGAAACCGGAGCUAAUACCGGAUAAUAUAAUGAACCGCAUGGUUCAAUAGUGAAAGACGGUUUUGCUGUCACUUCUAUAUGUAUCCGCGACGCUUAAGCUUAUGGGCAAGGUAACGGUUUACCAAGGCAACGAGGCAUAGCCGACCAGCGGGGUGGACCGGCGCUACUGGAAGUGGAAGACGGGCCAGACUCCGACGGGGGGCAGGCGUAGGGAAUCUUGGGCGACGGGAGAAAGCAAGACGGAGCAACGCGGGGUGAGUUAUGGAGGUCUUCGGAUGGUGAAGCUCUGUUAUUAGGGAAGAACAAAUGUGUAAGCAACUGUGCACGUAUUGACGGUACCUAAUCAGAAAGCCACGGCUAACUCCGUG
rnacentral:rRNA from 1 species